CAAAAGGGGCGGGCGAGCACGGCCCGCGGGCGGCGUUCGCUGGAGCUGGUGGACCGGGCGGCUGACCGAGGGGCGGACGCGCGGCGGGGCAGACCGCUGGGGACUGCGGGCGGCGCUGUGUCCGUCGCCAUGACAGAUCAGACCUAUUGUGACCGCCUGGUGCAGGACACGCCUUUCCUGACAGGCCAUGGGCGCUUGAGUGAGCAGCAGGUGGACAGGAUCAUCCUCCAGCUGAACCGUUACUACCCACAGAUCCUUACCAACAAGGAGGCGGAAAAGGUGCUGAGGAGGUGCCACGUGCAGGGCUAUCCUGAGGGUUGGGGCAUCUCCUGGAACAAUGAGGUUGGCCCACAACAGAACAGGAGUCAACACGGGCCCUGCUACUGGCUCAGUUCCGGAACCCCAAGGCAUCCUUGCGUGUGCGGCUCUGUGACCUCCUGAGCCACCUGCAGCGGAGCGGUGAGCGGGACUGCCAGGAGUUCUACCGAGCCCUGUAUAUCCAUGCCCAGCCCCUGCACAGCCGCCUGCCCAGCCGCCACGCUCUGCGUAAGUUCCACAUCACCAACCAUGCAUGCUUGGUGCUGGCCCGGGGAGGGCACCCCAGCCUGCCGUUGAUGGCAUGGAUGUCCUCCAUGACCACCCAAGUCUGCUGCAGCCCAGGCCUGGCAUCCCCUCUCGCCUCAGCCCCUCCCCAGAGGCCACCCUCUGGCCCCGAGGGGAGAGUGUGGCAGGCACAGGCAGUGCAGAUGUUGGUCUCUGUCUCCCACUUUCUCCCCCUUCCUCCGUCUCUCUCUCAUGGCAGUUUUCACACAGCAUGGGGCAUCUUAUACGUCCACUCUUGCCCUUCCUUUUCUAACCUCAUUCCACGGGGAUCCCUUCAUGUCUGUGUGGACAGCAACCUUGUUCCCACAGCUGCAUGGCGCUCCUAGGCGGUCCCAGCUGGAAUUACCCAACCCCAUGACGGACCCUUUCAUUGCAGCGAUCUGCACACGUGUGGGUGUUUCCAUAGGACAUUGUCAGGCACGGAUGGCUGGUCCGAAGCACGUGCAUUUCAGUUUUGAGGCUCCUGUCCUCAGGCAGUGUGGACUCAGGCCCUGGGAGUCAUGUGGAUGCCAGUAGCCUGGGCCCACAGAGCUGCUGGGAUGUGGGGGGCAUAUCAAGUUGAAGAUGGCAACUCUGAUCUGACGCCUCUGUGCUCAGGGCCCCUGGAGGAGGGGCUACUGCCCCUUGGCCCUUAGACAACAGGACAGAGACCAGAGGGACUGGGCGGCUUGUCCCAGGCUACUGGGCUGUGGUCUCUGACCCCCUGGAGGCCUCCCCACGCCUCACAGAACACAGUGCAGACGGUGGGCGGGGAGAGCUCGAGGGGAGGCCCAGCCCUGCAGGUGGGACUGGCUCUCCCUCCCCAGCCACGAGUAUGCCACAGGGGGCUUUCAAAACCAGGCAGGGCCAAGCCUUGGCCCCACUGGAGGUAGAGCACCUUCUGUGGCUCCCGGGUGCCUUUAGGCCCGUCCAGGAGUUGGAGCAGAGGAGAAGACCCAGACUGUGCAUAGUUCCCUGAGGAGGGCUAGCCUCAGGUGCCACAGCCUGGUUCGGCCUGGCGGCCCCAGGAGGCAGCAGCAACCUUGGGCUUCCUGCGGGGUGACUACCUUGCCCUCCGGCCCUGCCCGUUGACUAACUAUGCUCUGUGGUUUUGUUUCCAGAGAACUCAGAUUGCACAGAGCUAGACUCGGGCAGCCAGAGCGGCGAGCUGAGUAACAGGGGUAACACCUCCCUGCUGCCCCUCCCUCUCUCUCCCUCUCUCUCCCUCUCUCUUUACCCUCCCCAGGGCUCCAUCUCCGCCUCAGGGGCUUCUCCACCCCAAGUCUGGCUCCAUUCCUGGCCUUCUGUUGGUGACAGACCCCCCCCCUAAGGUGCUCGUUUGGGGGCUCUUCAGGCAGCACCUCAGCCUGGCACCCCCACUCCCCUGCGCAGCCCCCAGGCCUCAGGACCCCACCCCUCUGAGGCCCAGGGGAGCCCUGUUCACGCUGGUUUCUCCCCAGGACCCAUGAGCUUCCUGGCUGGCCUGGGCCUUGCUGUGGGACUGGCCCUGCUCCUGUACUGCUAUCCGCCAGACCCCAAGGGCCUGCCAGGGACCCGGCGCGUCCUCGGUUUCUCGCCUGUCAUCAUCGACAGACAUGUCAGCCGCUACCUGCUGGCCUUCCUGGCAGAUGACCUAGGGGGGCUCUGACAGACCCUGGACCCAGGGCCUCACCUGCCACUCAACCAAAGAGUCCUCGAGCCGGCCCGCCAAGGGGACUGCUGCUUCUUUUUCUAAAUGCAUAUUUUUCAUUAUUUAUAAUUUGUGUAAAAAACACACCUUCACCUUACAAGGUGCUGACCAUAUUAAAUGUUCAGGUUCUCUCA